GCCAGGUGUGGUGGCACAUGCUUAUAAUCCCAGUUGCUCAGGAGGCUGAGGCAGGAGGAUUGGAAGUUUGAGGCUUACCUCGGCAACUUACCAAGACCCUGUCUCAA
rnacentral:sRNA from 1 species